GUGAGGUUGACCAUUUGGAGGUCCUUGGUGCCGGAAUUGGAGGCGAAGGUGUGGGGGCGGGUGCGGAUGUCGAAGAUGUAGGGCUUCUGGAGCCAGGGGAUUAGGAAGUGGGUACCCUCGCCGACAGAGACAUCGAGAACACCGCGGAAGCGGUCGAAGAUGACUGCGCGCUGGCCGCCGUCGACGGUGUAGAGGGAGGAGGAGAGGAGGGUGGCGCCGGCGCCGAGGCCAAGGGCGGCGCGGGCGAUGUUAGUGAGGAGCGAGACGGCAGCUUGGGGGUUAGAGGCCAUCGGAACCCUAGAAAUUG
rnacentral:misc_RNA from 1 species